AUGAACGCUGGCGGCGUGCCUAAUACAUGCAAGUCGAGCGAACAGACGAGGAGCUUGCUCCUCUGACGUUAGCGGCGGACGGGUGAGUAACACGUGGAUAACCUACCUAUAAGACUGGGAUAACUUCGGGAAACCGGAGCUAAUACCGGAUAAUAUAUUGAACCGCAUGGUUCAAUAGUGAAAGUCGGUUUUGCUGUCACUUAUAGAUGGAUCCGCGCCGCAUUAGCUAGUUGGUAAGGUAACGGCUUACCAAGGCGACGAUGCGUAGCCGACCUGAGAGGGUGAUCGGCCACACUGGAACUGAGACACGGUCCAGACUCCUACGGGAGGCAGCAGUAGGGAAUCUUCCGCAAUGGGCGAAAGCCUGACGGAGCAACGCCGCGUGAGUGAUGAAGGUCUUCGGAUCGUAAAACUCUGUUAUUAGGGAAGAACAAAUGUGUAAGUAACUAUGCACGUCUUGACGGUACCUAAUCAGAAAGCCACGGCUAACUACGUG
rnacentral:rRNA from 1 species